rnacentral:rRNA from 1 species
AUACGGAGGAUGCAAGCGUUAUCCAGAUUUAUUGGGUUUAAAGGGUGCGUAGGUGGGAUAUUAAGUCAGCUGUGAAAGUUUGGGGCUCAACCUUAAAAUUGCAGUUGAUACUGGUUUCCUUGAGUACGGUACAGGUGGGCGGAAUUCGUGGUGUAGCGGUGAAAUGCUUAGAUAUCACGAAGAACUCCGAUCGCGAAGGCAGCUCACCGGGCCGGAACUGACACUGAUGCUCGAAAGUGCGGGUAUCAAACAGGAUUAGAUACCCUGGUAGUCCACACAGUAAACGAUGAAUACUCGCUUUUUGCGAUACACUGUAAGCGGCCAAGCGAAAGCGUUAAGUAUUCCACCUGGGGAGUACGCCGGCAACGGUGAAACUCAAAGGAAUUGGCGGGG